AGGGAAUCUUCCACAAUGGACGCAAGUCUGAUGGAGCAACGCCGCGUGAGUGAAGAAGGUCUUCGGAUCGUAAAGCUCUGUUGUUGGUGAAGAAGGAUAGAGGCAGUAACUGGUCUUUAUUUGACGGUAAUCAACCAGAAAGUCACGGCUAACUACGUGCCAGCAGCCGCGGUAAUACGUAGGUGGCAAGCGUUGUCCGGAUUUAUUGGGCGUAAAGCGAGCGCAGGCGGAAUGAUAAGUCUGAUGUGAAAGCCCACGGCUCAACCGUGGAACUGCAUCGGAAACUGUCAUUCUUGAGUGCAGAAGAGGAGAGUGGAACUCCAUGUGUAGCGGUGGAAUGCGUAGAUAUAUGGAAGAACACCAGUGGCGAAGGCGGCUCUCUGGUCUGCAACUGACGCUGAGGCUCGAAAGCA
rnacentral:rRNA from 1 species